GAUGAAGAACGUAGCGAAAUGCGAUACUUGGUGUGAAUUGCAGAAUCCCGUGAACCAUCGAGUCUUUGAACGCAAGUUGCGCCCGAAGCCAUUAGGCCGAGGGCACGCCUGCCUGGGCGUCACACGUCGUUGCCCCCCCAUCUACUCCUUCGGGAUUGCGGGGGGCGGAUGAUGGCCUCCCGUGCGCCUCGCCGCGCGGUUGGCAUAAAUGCCAAGUCCUCGGCGACGCACGCCACGACAAUCGGUGGUUGCGAAACCUCGGUUGCCCGUCGUGUGCGGUCGUCGCGAAUCGAGGGCUCGAAAAAAUUGCCGGGUUCCGGCUCGGCUUUCAACGCGACCCCAGGUCAGGCGGGGUUACCCGCUGAAUUUAAGCAUAUCAAUAAGCGGAGGA
rnacentral:misc_RNA from 1 species